rnacentral:lncRNA from 1 species
CAACAGUUCACUUGAAUCUGUAAAAAAGACAUUUAGCUGCUCAGAAUGAAUGAACACAAGUGAAGUAACCAGUGACAACAUGUGACAGUCACUAACUGAGUGAGUUUUUUUUUUUUUUUUUUUCAAUGAUAGCAAUACAACUAAAUCAUAAGUGCCCUUCUAUGCUGUUAUAUUGUUAUUACCUUUGCCAGUUUUAGUGUUUAGCUUGCAACCAUGCUGAAGCAGCAUCAUCAGGGGCUCUGAUGGAUCAUGAGUGCAGAUAUUGGCUGCGAGGUUAAGUUUACUACACAACCAUGUAGAUCUGAAUUCAAUUCCACUGCAUGGCACUUUCGCCAAAUACCUUCUACCAUAGUCAAGGGUUAAGCAAUAUCUCAUGAAUGGAAUUCGAUAAAUAAAAGCUAUACAGUAAUUUAUGGGUGUGUGUAUGUGAGUGUGUAUAUGUGUAUGUGUGUGUGUAUGUGUGUGUGUAGGUGUGUGUGUUUCAGUCAUUUGACUGUAGCCAUGCUGGAGCACCACCUUUAGUCAAACAAAUCAACCCCAGGAUUUAUUCUUUGUAAGCCUAGUACUUAUUCUAUCAAUCAAUUUUGCUGAACCACUAAGUUACGGGGACAUAAACAAACACAGUCACACAAACAUUCACACACACACACACACACACAAGGCACCAACCGAUCAUGGCUGUUUCCAGUCUCCCCAGGCCCCUGUGCCAUUGGCACGUAAAAAGCACCCACUACACUCACAAAGUGGUUGGCCUUAGGAAGGGCAUCCAGCUGUAGAAACACUACCAGAUCAGACUUGAGCCUGGUUCCCAGACCCCAGUCGAACUGCCCAACCUAUGCUAGCAUGGAAAACAGUCAUUAAAUGAUGAUAAUUAUAUCAUCAUCAUCAUCAUCAUCAUCAUCAUCAUCAUCAUCAUCGUUUAACGUCCGUUUUCCGCGCUAGCACGGGUUGGACGGUUCGACCGGGGUCUGGGAAGCCAGGGGCCGCUCCAGGCUCCAGUCUGAUUCUGGCAGAGUUUCUACGGCUGGAUGCCCUUCCUAACGCCAACCACUCCGUGAGUGGAUUGGGUGCUUUUUACGUGCCACCUGCACAGGGGCCGGGGGGUCCGCCAUCGGUCACGAUCGGUUCGAGCUUUUAACGUGCCAGGGACACGGGGGCAACGGGAUGCGGGGUAGAGUUGAGUUGGGGGGGGUCCAGCUGAGAAAGGUUUCACCAGUGAAAAGAGAGGGAGAGAUAGUAAAGGGGUGCAGGUAAUAUAGGGGAGCACCAGUGGGGAAGGUUGGGGGAGGAGGAACGAUGGCAGGAAGGGUUGGUGAAGGUUCGUAAGAAAUAUAAACGUAGGAUGUGUAUAUAUAUAUAUGGGUAGGUGUGGGGAAGGUUGGGUGGGUAAGGAGGAACGAUGGCAGGAAGGGUUGGUGCAGGUUCGUAAGAAAUAAAAACGUAGGAUAUUACGAGGCAUGGAGGGGACUGGAAGGAGAUAGUAGGAUUGAGGCAGUGUCAGAUCCAAACCUGGAGGAAGCGUAAGAUCAGAGGGCGGUUGAUGAGCUGAGACGCUAGCAGCUUGUCUUUUCUCAGUGAAAGCAUAUGAGGAGAAGGGGUAGGAAGGGGUGGUGGGGGAGGAGGAGGGAGUAUCCGGUGUAGAUGGUGAGAACAGUGUUCACCGGUAUUGGUGGGGGGGUGGUAUUGGUGGUGGGGGUGGUAUUGGUGGUGGUGGGGGUGGUAUUGGUGGUGGUGGGGAGGGGGUAUUGGUGGUGGGGGUGGGAGGGGGUGGUAUUGGUGGUGGGAGUGGGAGGGGGUGGUAUUGGUAUUGGUGGUGGGGGUGGGAGGGGGUGGCAUUGGUGGUGGUGGUGGGAGGGGUGGUAUUGGGAGGGGGUGGUAUUGGUGGGGGGGGGGUAUUGGUGGUGGGGGGGGUAAAUAUAUAUAUAUAUAUAUAUAUAUAUAAAUAUAUAGUUGAAUUUUACAGAAAAACAAAGCAAAAAGACAAGUGUAUGAGCAACAAGCAGAUGUAUUAGUUUGACACUUAGGAAAGUGAGAAAUUCUUUUACGUUUCGAGCCUGUGCUCUUCAACAGAAAGGAGUAUGAGAAAAUAAACAGAGAAAAUAAAAAGAUAUAUAUAUAUAUAUAUAGAUAGAUAGAUAGAUUGAUAGAUAUAUAUAUAGAGAGAGAGAGAGAAAAGGAGAGAGAGAGAGAGAAAGGAAAAGAGAGAAAAGGAGAGAGAGAAAAAGGAUAAGAUAGAGGGAGAGAGAAUGUUUAUAAAUUAUCUUAACAUUUUCUGCAAUUUAUUAUAUCAAUGUGUAAAAAUAAUUUACGUACACUCUGUAUGUGUGUGUGUGUGUUUGCGCAUACACGUGUGUAUAUGUUUGGAUGAUGAUGAUGAUGAAAUAUAUAGGAAUAAAUUUUGUUGAGAUAUACCAAGAUACAAUACUUGCUAGUAAUUUUGCUGGCAUAAAUGCAGUGAGCCAGUACUUGGCCCAUUGAAAACCUGUCAUCAACAAUACUGUUGUCCAUAAAUUGCAAUAUAAAAUAUAUAAAACUAGAUGCCAGCUUGGCUGUGUGGUUAAGAAGCUUGCUUUUCUAUCAUGUGGUCUUCGGUUCAAUUCCAUUGUGGAGUGUUGAGCAAGUGGGGUCUAUUAAAGCUUUGGGCUAACCAAAGCCUUGUAAAUAGAUUUGGUAAAUGAAAACUGAAUGAAACUUAUUGUGUGUGCUUGCAUGUGAGUGUGUGUGUGUGUGUGUGUGUGUGUGUGUAGGUGUGUUUGUGUAUAUGCUUGUCAAGACACAUGCUAGUUGUAACUGAGUAUCAUCAUCAUACUAUAGCCCAAGGCCAAACAAUGCCUUGUGUGUGAAUUUCAUUGAUGGAAACAGUGUAGUUCAUUGUGUAUGUACAUGUGUGUGUGUGUGUGCAUGUGUACCUGUGUGUGCAUGUGUACCUGUGUGUGUGUGCAUGUGUGCAUGUGUACCUGUGUGCAUGUGUACCUGUGUGUGUGUGCAUGUGUGUACAUGCAUGACUUUGUGUCUGUUUGUCCUCUUACACUAAUCAAGAACCAGUGUUGAUUUGUUUACAACUUGGUAACAUAAGGGCCACAUUUUUAAAAAAAUAAGUACUUGGGUCGAUUUAUUUGAUUAAAACUCUUCAAAGCAGUGCCCCAGCAUGACCACAGUCAAACGCUUGAAACAAGUAAGUGAUAAGAGAUAAACUAUAACAUUUGAGACUAUUGCAUGUGAUGUGUUCAUCCUUUGCAAGGAAGUUUGACCACUAUUUCUAUAGAUAAACACACAGAAGCUCCCUUGUUGAUCUGGUCAAUAUUUAUUGGUUAUUUUGUUAUAUAUUCCCAAGGGUACCUAUGAAAGCAUUUAGUCAUCCUUCAGUGUUAUGUUCCAAACUCCACUGCAAUAGGUGGAAAUCCGGGAAGUAGAAACAGUAGUGUACUGUAUAUAUUUGUUUUUUGUUAUUUUUAUAAUUUGUAUAUAUUCAUUUUAUUAUAAAUGCAAACCAACACCAUGGAGGAAUUGGUGUAAGCUUAAAUAAUAAACCACAAUAGGUGAACUGCUAUAUGGCAAGGGAUUACUAUAUAUCUUGGACGACAGGACUAGCAAAGGUACAGAGAUAAACUCACUCAUUUAGUCAAUAUUUAUUGGUAUAUAGGGUAAUGAGCUGGCAGAAUUGUAAACACAUCAGACAAAAUGCUUAGCGACAUUUUGUCCAUCUUUAUAUUCUGAUUUCAAAUUCUGCCAUGGUCGACUUUGCCUUUCAUCCUUUCAGGGUCGAUAAAAUCAGUACAAGUUGAGUAUCAUGAUUGAUUAUGGGUGCCAUUUACAAAGCACUGGUGACAGCCCAACUCCAAUUUCACAGGAGCCAUUUAUAUGGUAUUUGUAUGGCCACAACAAUGAUUUCACUUGGUCUGACAAGCCUUCUCACUCACAGUAUAUCACCAGAGGUUUCAGUCACUUGUCAUCACCUCCGUGAGGCCCAACAUUUGAAGAUCAUGCUUCACUACCUUGUCCCAUGUCUUCCUGGGUCUACCUCUUCCACAGGUUUCCUCCACAGUUAGAAAUUGGCACUUCUUUACACAGCUGUCCUCAUCCACACACUUCACAUGACCAUACCAUAUAUCAAUGACACUGAGAAUAGAACUUCUAGGACAAUGCUCUUAUACAAGAGUAUAGUAGAUUUUUCUACUUUAAUAUUAUAUAUACAAAUGAUUAAAUUUCUAUGUAGAUAACAACAAUCCUAUAAUAAUGAGGCUUCAAUUGAGAGCUUAAUUAAAAUAUGCUGACGUUAAUGAAGCAACUUCAGAUAACUUGGUAAAAUAGGACCAGGGAUGGUCUUAGGAUGUUUAAUUUCAUCAAAAGAGUUAAGAACAUCUGAGAUGAUAAUUUUCAUUUAAUGCAUGAUCUAAAUUUAUUGUUGAUUACUCUUGUAUAUUUUUAUAAUUUUACACCACUCCUGCAAGUAAGUGCACCAGGCAGCCGAAAACAAAACAAAAUAUCAUGGAAAAAAAUGACACUAUGUACAAAUAAACAGUAUACUCCAAAAAACAGCACAUGUGUUCAACUAAAUAUAUAAUAGAAACAAGCCAUUCAACAAAAUUGUUCCUGACUCCUGUGGUAACCACAGAGGUAACUGCAUGCAACUCAGAUGGCCCCCAUCUUUGCACCCAUCCCCUACACACACCCAUAAGUCCUUAACACUUUGGAGCUGCUGGUUGGUCUCGUCCUUUGAUGUUUCCCUUGAUGCAGCAAUCCAGAGGGUUCAAAUUAGGAGAACUAGGUCGUCAUAUGUUGUAGGGUCAUGUAAGAAUUCUCAAUCAAUUACAUAGGGGUCACCUAUGAGAGAGCAGAGUCCUGCAAGAAUACUUACCCUUCCACCCUCAGCUAUGCACUUGAUCCAGAACUUGACCACAAUAUUCAAGAUCUCAAUGCAGUGAACCUUAGGCCCUACAGGAAGAAAUGAGGUAGUUUGACAUGGCCCUCAUUGUUCACAUUUUCCAGGACUGUCAGAGAUGAUAGGAACUUGCUGACUCUUAUUAUAGGCUACCAAUGUGCCUUACAGAUCCAUCCAUCAUUUCUCCUUCCUUCUAUUUCUGAACAUAGUUUUCAUCAGUAAGAACCAGAGCACGAUGGCUUUCUUCAGAUAUAUAGAAGAUCCUUUGAAUUGCAGGUACAACUCAUUUUUGCCAACUGAGUGGACUGGAGCAAGAGAAGUAAAGUGUCUUGCUCAAGAGUAUAUUUCAUCACCAGGAAUUGAACGCAUGACCUUCUGAUCAUGAGCCAAAUACCCUUGCCACUAAGCCAUACACCUUCUCAUACACAUACAUACUUGUGUGUGUGUGUGUAUCUGUUAUUCUGCCUCCACAACAUUUUGAGUUCUUCAGUUAGUAUAUGGUUUGCCUUGUCAAAAUAUACAACUCAAACUAGCUAUUGUUUUUGAUUUUGUGGAAAAUGGCAUGGCUCUUGUUCCCCCACCCAUGUCAAUCCUGAUGAUACAGACCUAUAAUCAAGGGCAUUACAAUCAUGGCCAACUCUUCUCUUAUUCAAUCAUUGUGUUAUCUAGGACCACAUUAAUUAAUGUGUCUUUCCUUUUUUUUAAGACAGCAAAGCAAAUGAGGGAGAUUUGUCCACUAUACACACACACACACACACAUAUAUAUAUAUAUAUAUAUAUAUAUACAUACAUACAUACAUACAUACAUACAUAUAUACAUGGAAGAUGGAUGUUAAAUGAUGAUGAUGAUAUAUAUAUAAGGUAUGAAUAUGAGAUUUUGUCUGGCUCCAAUACUUCUGUGUUUUGAAUUAGUUUUUAGACUUCUUUCUUGCUUUUUGGGUGUGUCAUGGCAGGUAGGGAAGAACUGGCUGCUAUUUAAUGCAUGUUAAAGACCCCCAAGACACUCCCUAGUUGGCAUCGGCUUGAUUUUAAGGCAUUUGUCAUUAAGAGUGAGCCAUAGAGGUAUUUCCUGAUCAAUAUUAAGAAGUUACACUGUUUACUUUGUAAUGCUUGACUCCGUGUUUACACAGAAUUAGAAGGUUGGACUAGAUGGUGCUUCAUUUUGGUUUUUGUCUUUCCUCCUCUCCCAUAUACUUUGCGUGAUUCAUAUUUUGGAAGAUACUUGAUAUUUUCGUUCCAUUCUCUGUGUCAAUCUCUCCAUGCAUCACUGCAGGAUAAAGUAACAGAGAGGAAUGUGUCUCUUAUGAGAACACACACGAGAAACAUGUUUUGUUUCUUUUGCAGUUAAUUUUAUAUACAUACACAAGCACGCGCAUAUGCAAACGCACGCAUGUGCACACACACACACACACACACACACACACACACACAAUUUGAAAAACCUCAUUAAGCAUACUGCUAUCUUACUUUCUCUACUCUCUUCUUGUGUGUGUGUGUGUAUAUAUAUAUAUAUACAUGUAUACAUACAUAUAUAUAUAUAUAUGUAUAUGUACAUAUAAAUGGCUACAUACAUACAUACAUACAUACACACACACACACACAUAUAUAGAUAUAGAUAUAGAUAUAGAUAUAUAUACAUACAUACAUAUACAUGUAUAUACAUAUAUCACUGCAGAGAUGCUUAAAAUACCUGGUGGUUUCGGCUAUAGUCUAGUCACCCAUAUAGUCAACCAGGUGAUACAUACCCAGGAGUCAUACCCAGUGACUGGUGUAACAGCACCAUAGUCAACUGCUACAAAGGUAAAGGUGACACAUUAGACAGAAAUAAAUACAGAGGUAUCAAGUUGUUAGAUCAGGUAAUGAAAGUCACCGAGAGGGUCAUAGCCCAACUACUUAGGGAGAGAGUCAGUCUAGAUGAGAUGCAGUUUGGGUUUGUGUCAUGGAAAAGCACCACUGAUGCUAUAUUUCUAGUAAGACAGCUGCAGAAGAAAUACCUAGCCAAAGAUAAACCUCUGUACCUGGCUUUCAUUGACAUAGAUAAAGCCUUUGACAGGGUCCUCCAAUCCCUUAUCUGGUGGUCAAUGAGGAAACUAGGGAUAGAUGAAUGGUUAGUGAGAGCUGUGCAAGCCAUGUACAGGGAUGCUGUUAGUAAGGUGAGGGUUGGCAACAAGUGCAGUGAGGAAUUCCGGGUGGGGGUAGCGGUCCACCAAGGAUCAAUCCUCAGCCCCCUCUUAUUCAUCAGAAUCUUCCAGGCAAUAACAGAGGAAUUCAAGACAGGAUGCCUCUGGGAGCUUCUCUUUGCUGAUGACCUUGCUCUAAUUGCUGGGUCACUAUCAGAACUAGAGGAGAAGUUUCAGGCUUAAAAAAAGUUCCCGAGUUGAUUUGUUCAAAUGAAAUUCUGCAAAACGGUGCCCCAGCAUGGCCAUGGCAACACUCUAAUGACUAGAACAAGUAAAAGAUAGAAAAUAAUAUAUAUAUAUAUAUAUAUAUGUGUGUAUGUAUAUAUAUAUAUAUAUAUAUAUAUAUACGAGGGACGUUCAAUAAGUAAUGCCUCUGACCCACUUGUGCAAUCAUUUAUAUCUCUAUAGAGUAAGUGGCAAAUUACAGCUCUGAAUUAAUUGUGGUUUCUGAUUUACAGGUGUUUGAACCGAGUCAAGUGUGAAAUGGAGCCUGUUGAGUGUCGAGCAGUGAUCCGGUUUUUGUAUUUGAAAGGACGCACACCACGGGAGACUUUUGAUGAAAUGAAAGUAACUUAUGGUGAUGAUGCCCCAUCAUAUGACCUUGUAAAACGCUGGCAUCGUGAAUUCAAACAUGGUCAGAACUCUGUGGAAACAGCUCCCAGAUCUGGUCGCCCCCUUCUGCCAUUGAUGAGGCAUCUGUCCGUCAAGUUGAGGCUGCCAUUUUGGAAGAUCGACGCAUAAUUAUUCGCCAAAUAGCCCAUGAGGUCAAGAUUAGUACCGGGUCUGUAGAAACUAUCAUUCAUGACCAUUUGCAUAUGCAAAAGGUGUCUGCCAGAUGGAUUCUCAGGUUGCUCACGCCUUUCCAGAAGCAAGAACGCGUCGAGUGCUUAAGGGUGAAUUUGGAGAUGUGCCAAGAAGAUGAGUCAAAAUUUUUCAAAAGACUGAUUACACAGGAUGAAACCUGGGUCCAUCACAAUGAUCCAGAGACCAAAGCCCAGUCAAUGCAGUGGAAGCACCAUGACUCACCCCCUCCAAAGAAGGCAAGGGUGCAGCCCUCUGCUGGCAACGUCAUGCUCACAGUCUUCUGGGACCAGGACGGAGUAGUGAUGACAGAUUUCCUGGCAAAGGGUACCACAAUUGCAGGAGCCUAUUAUGCUUCACUUUUGAGGAAAUUAAAAGAAGUUAUCAAAAUCAAGAGGCGGGGCAAGAUCAGCAAAGGCAUCCUCCUCCUGCAGGACAACGCUCCGGUCCACAACUCGCUUGUCGCCAGAUCAGAAGCACAGGCGUAUGGCUAUGAACUCCUCCCCAUCCCCCUACUUUCCUGAUCUUGCACCCUCUGAUUUUCACCUCUUCCCAAUCAUGAAGUUGUUUUUGAAAGGAAAGCGUUUCCCAGAUGAUGCAACCUUGAUUUCUGAAGUCACGUUGAGGUUGGAGGACCAAGCUGGGUUCUUCUACAAAAACGGUCUCCAGAGCUGCAUCAAAUGAUGGGAGAAAUGCGUAACUCUGAGGGGUUCCUAUGUAGAAAAAGACUAAUAACUGUGCCAAGUUUCGUUGCUCUACUGCUAUGGGAAGUGGGUCAGGGGCAUUACUUAUUGAACGCCCCUCGUAUAUAUAUACAUAUAUAUUAUAUUAUAUAGAUAUAUAUUUUAUACACACACACACACACACAUAUAUAUAUGAUAUAUAUGUAUGUAUGUAUGUAUGUAUGUAUGUAUGUAUGUGUGUGUGUGUAUAAAUGAUAUAUCUAUAUAUAUAUAUAUAUAUAUAUAUAUAUGCAUAUAUGGGUACAAGAUGUCACUAGCAGUGCAAAUAACAUGAAAUGCGUAAACAAAUGAUGGAAAAAACAAAUGAAAUAUGCAAACAACGAGAAAAAAAAUGGGAAACACGACAAGUAAAUGCAGACAAAGGACCCUUCAUCAGUUGUCGGCUGUCUAUAUAUUCCUCAUUUCAAGCAUUCAACAACAUAUAUAUAUAUAUAUAUAUAUAUAUAUAUAUAUAUAUAUGUAUAUAUAAAAUACAAAAUGGGACGUAUGUAUAUAUAUAAGUGUUUGCUUUUAUGUGGAAUUAUAUAUGUAAACAAUUUAACAUUAAACUGUAUUAAAGGAUUACUCAGUACUUUUCUGUUGAGUCUGUAUUUAUUAAUUUUUACUAGAAGAUAACUGACAGAGACUUUGAAGUUUUGACUAUCCAGCUGUCAUCAGAUUCAUCAACUUCUGAUGCCCAGUAAACCAAAACUUCAAUCUGCUGUCAAUCAUUCUCUUUUUAAAAAUUGUGUGUGUGUGUGUGUGUUUGGCGAAGGUAAAGCCAUUUCUGUUUUUUUUUUUUUGUUUUAGUUUUUAAAAACUAACAAAAGGCUGCACUCAUCUACCUUGCCAAUUUGUUUUGUGGGUUCCUCAUCACAGGGACAUGGUAUGGUAAGUUUACUCUCAAAGUUUAAGCCUACAGUUUAAGCCACUGUAAUAAGCCACUGUAAUACUGAAACUACACAACAGUUUAAGCCACUGUAAUACUGAAACUACACAACAAUAGGGAUGGAUUCAGAGGGGGUGAUAUGGAGAUGCACCCCACCACCACCACCACCACCACCACCACCACCACCACCAACAACAACAACAACAACAACAACAACAACAACAACAACAACAACAACAACAACAGCAGCAGCAGCAGCAGCAGCAGCCAAGAAACCUUUUUCAAAUUUGACUGUUUUGUUUAGAUAUGUAUGAUGGAAAGCAUAUUUUUGUACCAACAACAAACAAUCUUUGAAGGGUUCAAUAUAAAGAUUAAUUUUUUCAGUAUCUCUAAACAUAUUACACUGUCAUUUCAUUGAUAAAUUGCAAUGAAUCAGACCUCAGAUCUACCCUGCACCAGAAAUUUCUGGAUCCACUCCUGCACUACGAUACUCCAUUUCGACUAUUCCCUAGUUCAGCCCAGCAGUGAUUUUUAUCUUCAUGUAUUUCACCAGGAAGGUUCUUAGCCAAUAGUGUCUCAGUUCAUGCAAGUGGACGGGGCUACAGCUGGUGCAGUAUUUCAAGAUUUUGGUAGUAUUGGACGUAGACUUAUACAGUACUUUUCUUGUCCCAGACAAAGGAAAAACUAAACUCCACAAUAGGAAAAUUAUUGUGAGAAAUAUGGAAUAACAUUUUAUUGCACAGUUACUCUUUGUAAAAAUACCACAUGAACAUGAUAUCCUAAAUAGAACAAAAUAAAAAUAAAAUAAAGAUUACAGUAAAACCUACACAAUAAAAAAAAAACAUUUUAAUCAUAAAAUCCUGAAAAAUAUAGUACCACAAAAACAUCAUGUCCCAAUUAGAACAAAAUAAAAACAGAACAGAAUAAAAUCUGCACAGUUGAAAUAUUAAAAAUAAGAAAACAUAUCUUAAUCUUCAAAUCCUGAAAAUAUUUUAUAUUUUUACCAUUUGUAAAAAUUUCACACAGACAUGACAAAACAAACGGUUACAAUUAAGUUACAAUGGAAAAAGAUUAAAAAGUAUGCAAACAUUAAAUAUACGAGUAUAAGGAAAAUAUUUCACUCUUCAAAUCCUGAAAACUGACUGCAGUCACCCAUAGCCCCAAAACCAGAAAAAUCAUUAGGGUUAUCAGUACUGUCUGAAGCGUCACUAUCUUCAAACAGAAUGUCCAUCUCCUGUGCCAUUUAAUGCAUUACUGAUGUCACAUUUUUUAAAAGAUUUUACUAUUACUUCAAUUUUCACAGUGUUCCAUGAUUUCAGGAUCCACUCGCACACCUGAGCAAUUGUUGGCUUUUUCAAAUGACCUGUUGGUGUUAGGUCAUGGUCCUUGGCUUUCAUCCACUGAUUCCACUCUUCUUUAAUUAUUGCCUUAAAAGGCUUGUUGAUUGAUACAUCCAGUGGUUGUAAUUGGCUUGCUAAACCACUAGGAAUCACUGCCAUUUUCGUUUUCAAUUUCUGCACCCUUUCUUUGUUUUAUGGACACAAAACUAGUUCCACACAAGAAAGGAUGUUUUUUUUUAAGGAGGCCACCAGAAUGCCUUGACCAGACCUUAUCUAGCCAUAACUUCACCCCCUCUUCAUCCAUCUGCCCCUUUAGGUAAACAUGAACAAAAAUUCCACAUGGAAUUUUGUCUUUUGGUAAAGUUUUCCUCUUGAAAAUUGGCAGCGGUGGCAGUUUUGUUCCAUCUGCACAACACGAUAGUACUGCAGUAUAAUGGGUUUUCUCAUGUCCAGAUAUCUUUACACUUAAGGUUUUGGACCCUUUAAAAUCCUUUGUUCUAUUUGAUACCAUAUCAAACGUUAGUGACACUUCAUCCAUGUUUCUGAUCAAACCUAGUUCGUAGUCAAUCUUUUUCCUUGCACUGACUAUGAACCUGUGAAAUUCGAUUAUUCUGUUAUAAUCUUCAAGCAGUUUUUGUGCUAUUCUUGUUUACAUUCCUAUUGACAGUCCGUGUCCCUUUAUAAAUCUAUAACACCAGCUUGAUGUGCCACAAAAAUCAUCCAGACUUCUUGCUGCUGCCCUCACUUUUGAUUCAUUGAUUAUCAUUUUUAUUGAUACUGCAAAACCCGAAUUUCUCUCUGCAACUAUCCACUCCAUCUUUUGCUCCAGUUCUGGCCACUUAGCUGCAGUCUGAUGCAGGUUACAUUUAAGUCUUGGUGCAGGCUUCAACAGGUCCUCUUGUUUCUUCCAGUAGUGAAUCAUUUUCUCAUUUAAUGGUGCUCUAAAAUGCCUCUCUGCAGCCCUGUUGUCAUGCUGUUUGGCAUAUUCAAUCAUUUAUAGAUUGUAGCCGAUUGUGUAAGUGUAUUUUCUGCUUGAGAUUACCAUAAUAACAGUUGCGUUAAAAAUUUUAAGUAAGUCAGAGGUUUAUCUUUGGCUAGGUAUUUCUCCUGCAGCUGUCUUACCAGAAAUAUAGCAUCAGUGGUGCUUUUCCCUGGUACGAAACCAAACUGCAUCUCAUUUAAACUGACUCUCUCCAUAAUUAGUUGGGCUAUGACCCUCUCCUUGACCUUCAUUACCUGAUCCAACAACUUGAUAUCUCUGUAAUUAUUUGUAUCUAAAGUGUCAUCUUUACCUUUGUAGCAGUUGACUAUAGUGCUGCUACACCAGUCAUUGGGUAUGACUCCUUUGUGUAUCACCUGGUUGACUAUACAGGUGAUUAGGCUAUAGCCGACACUACCAGAUAUUUAGAGCAUCUCUGCAGUGAUUCCUGAUGGGCUGGGGGCUUUCCCUAUCUUCAUACUCUUAAUUGCUUUAUCUGCUAAGGUACUGUCAACUCGGAUAGCUGGUCCCACUGUUGGAUCGACAUUCAGCAGACUCUCUUUCUCCCAUUCAUUUUCUUUAUUGAGCAACCUUUCAUAGUGGCAUCUCAUAUAUAUAACGAAUAUAAUGUAUAUAUAUAUAUAUAUAUAUAUAUAUAUAUAUAUAUAUAUAUAUAUAUAUAUAUACACAUAAAUACUCACACACAUAUAUGUGUGUGUGUAUGUUUAUGGAUGUAGGCAAGAAUAGAAGUAUGAUAGCACUAGCUAGUGGAGUGGAACGUGUGUGUGUGUGUGUGUGUGUGUGUGCGUGUGAGAGAUAGUGUUUAUAACCAGACACUCUUCUUGUAGCCAGUCCACUUAGUAACCAUUUAUAAUGCACAGAAACACACAUUUUAUUUAUUCUUAAACCAGGAUCCACCUCAUCAUCAUCAUCAUCGGUGUCAUUGGUGUUGUCAGCAUCAGUGACAGCGGCAUCAUCAUCGUCAUUGUCAUCAUCGUCGAUAUCACCAAUUAACAACCAUGUUCCAAGCUGGUAUGGGUUGAAUGUUUUGACAGGAUCCAGUGUAUCCAAGGACUGCAUCAUGCACCAAUGUCUGUUUUGGUAUCGUUUCUAUGGCUGGAUACCCUUCCUAACACCAACAUCGUACGAUUAUAAAAUUCAAUAUUAACAUACGAACAUAUAUACAGACAUGUACACACACACACACACACACACACACAUGCACACAGACACACACAUUCACGUACAUACACACAGAAACAUACACAUUCACACACACACUCACACACCUACACACAUACAUAAUACAUACAGAUGAAAUAUGAUACUAAGUUCAAGUUCCACCCAACUCUCUGAAGAAAAUGUUUUAUUUUUAUCUUUAAAGAAACAAUAGCCACAGCAUACUCUGCCCACCAUCAACUCAUUUUCUCUAAAAGGAAUAAAGUAUUCAUUUCUAGCUCCAUCCCCCAAUGGUUGACAUUUCAGUUCUUUUUAUUUCUUUUUUUUUUUUGCUUUAUUUUUAUUUAUUUUAUUUUUUGCCCCAGAUAUGAAAAGAAAUAUGUUCCUCUCAAAAAGUUGGUUUCAUAUAACAAAGGUUUUCUCCCUUUCUAUUUUUUUUUUGGUUUUGUUUUUUUUUCUUGGAAGUGGGAUGUAUUAAGACAAGCAAGAAAACUAAAUUUCAUAAUUUACACUAUUUAGAUAUUAUCAGCUUAUUCUGGCAAAAUAUUUUAGGAUUGGGUAGACAUCUCUAUGAAAAUAAUAUGUGAGCUAAAUUCCCAGUGGUUUUAAAUUAGAGCAGCGUAAUUUAAAAGUCAAUGAGAGGAAUAUUGGUUUGAAGGAAAGAAAUUCUAGGAGGUACUGCAAUAGAUAUUUCGCUUAAAGCUAUAUGCUCUGAGUGUUGAAGUAAAUUCUCUUAUUCUUUUACUGGUCUCAGUCAUUGGACUGCAGGUCAUCCUGAGGCUGUGCUUUCAAGGGAUUAAGUCACUAACAUUAACCCCAGUGUUUAUUUUUAAGUUUGAUGCUUGUGUUUUAUGAAUCUCUUUCUUUCUUUUUUGAAUCUCUAAGCUGUGGGAUGCAAGCAAAAAAGCAUAAACAAAGGUGCACACACACGCGUGUGCGCACACACUUAUACACACAUCAUGCAAGCAUGCAACAUAUAUACAUUAUACAAGCAUACAACAUACACACAUAUAUACAUGUAUACAUACAUAUAUAUUGGAAGGCAAGGUUUACGAUAUCGAGAGAAUAUCUCCUUCUCCCAUUAUAUCUUGUUCUUCGAAUAGUUCAGGCUCUGGCAGGCGAAGAAAGAAGUCUUUAAGUACAAAUGCAAUUUACAACUGGUUUAUUUACAAGUUUCACAGAACAGGUGAAGUGUAUUGCUCUCAGCAACCAUCUCAAGCUGUGUGCAUUGUGUUGUAUCUCCAUUAGUGGGGGCACAUUGCCACUGGAGGUACAAAAUGCAGACAGUGAAGUGUGCUCAGCAAGCGCUGCUGCAAAGAAGCGGAGAGAGAGAAUGAAUCUGUUUCUGUUUUGCCCUUAUAUACAGUUUGCCAUCGCAAGCCUCGUUGUGAUCUCACGCAUGGCAAAUGGAUGCAGGUGGGGUCUCGCUCCAGUCUUGGAGAUGGCAUUGGCUGCUGCGAGAUCUUAUCCAAUAUAGUGAUGAUUGCUUGUGCUACUACACAUACAAUAAAAACAGUAAUUAAAUGAAAAUACAACAGACCUGAUAUUGUUCUGUGGGUGACGGAACAAAAGUUAUGCCCUGUUGUAAAGGUCAUUUACCCAGCAGAUGUAAAUGUACCAUCAAAAGUCCAGGAAAAAGACAACAUUUAUGGUGAAUGAAUGUAGAACUUUACUCUCUCCUUUACACCCUAACUAUAAAUUUUCAUUUGUACUUAUCAUCAUAGGUGCAUUAAGCUACAGACUACAUAUUUACACAAAAACCUAGAAAUACCAGGUAUAUUGAAGAGCAAAAGAAACCUAAUGUGGAUUCUCCAAAUUCAAUCUAUUAACAGCACAAUGAAGAUUUGUAAAACAUUCCAAAGGUUCUCCACCUGAGAUCUUUAUAUAAACAGAUGCACACACUUGGUUGAGUGCAUCGACAGUUCAAACAGCACACCAACUCAAUGACAGAUUUACAAACAUCAAGAAGUUUCUAAACUCAAAAUGUCAUGUCACUUUGUUAGUAACCAGCUUGAACUCUUUUAAAAACUUAAAUAAAACUAAAGAAAACGCACAUUUAUUUCUUCGUUUAUUCCAUGCUUGCUUCAGUUAAGCAAAAAUGUUAUUGAGGCAUUGUUAUACAGUCAGUUAUUAUUAUUAUUUACAGCAGACAGCUAAUACAAGGGAGACAAUCAUUUCUUCAUAUUAUUUGGUGGGAUCAGAAGUUUGAAUUUGAAAUUAAGAAAUACGAAAAAAAGGUAAGUAGAAUACACAUAUUCAUUCUUUCUUUGUUGUUGCUAUUUACUGAUUACAAAGUUCUUAAAAUUGCUAUGUGGUGGUAAUCAAGUAUCGCACUAUUUCAUCCUUUUCAGAAAUCAUCAACAAGACAUAAACAGAGAUAUAUUAAUUUUAUGAAGCAAAAG